rnacentral:tRNA from 1 species
GCCCGCGUGGCUUAGUGGUAGAGCGUCUCACUCGUAUAUUGACGACAUGAGAAGGUCAUCAGUUCGAUUCUGAUCGUGGGCA